rnacentral:lncRNA from 1 species
UUUAUUUUCCUUGCAUUUUUGUUUAUCAUAAACCAGCUACAACUACAAUAGACGAAAUAUCACCUCUCUGUGCUUCUUGUUUCUUUACUGUGAAAGUAGUGAGCGUGACUAGUUGGUCUCUAAACCUCUGCCCUGCCUAGGAUUUCUUUUUUUUUUUUUUUUUUUUUUUUUGAGAUGGAGUCUCACUCUGUAGCCCAAGCUGGAGUGCAGUGGUGUGAUCUCAGCUCACUGCAAGCUCCGCCUCCCGGCUUCACACCACUCUCCUGACUCAGCCUCCCGAGUAGCUGGGACUACAGGCGCCCACCACCACACCAGGCUAAUUUUUUGUAUUUUUAGUAGAGACGAGGUUUCACCGUGUUAGCCAGGAUGGUCUCGAUCUCCUGAUCUCGUGAUCCACCGGCCUCAGCCUCCCAAAGUGCUGGGAUUACAGGCGUGAGCCACUGCACCUGGCCUGCCCUAUCUAGGAUUUCUUAUUGGGGUUUAAACAAUUUCUCUUCUGUGGUGGUUAGACCUAUGAAAGAAAAAUGUUUUAUUAAAUAUAUUUUAACAUUAGAUAUGUUCAUACUUUGAAAUAUUUAUAGAUUGGGUAAACAUUUUUCUUUUAUAUGUCUAAUAAAUUGCAUUUUCCUCAUUACAAGAAAAAGUUUUCUCUAUAUAAUAUCUAUCUAUCUAGCCUAUCUGUCAUCUAUCUAUCUAUCCGUCCAUCCUACAUGGAAUGCCAAUCUAUAGAGAAAAUCACUGCUACAACUUUAGUAUAUUUGCUGUUAGUGAUUUACUCUAUAGAAGAAUACAUAUAUAUUUAAAGGAAGUUGCCACAAAACUGUGUUAGUUUCUUAUUCUUUUUUCCCUUCACUCUACAUUAGUUAAAACCUUAUCCCCAUAUCAUUGGAUAUUCUUUAAAAACACAACUGCAAAAUCUUUAAUUAGAUGAACAUGCUGUAGCUGAUUAACUGUUCUCCUGCUGUUGGACAUUUAAGUUGUUUUCACUUUUUCUCUGGCAACAAAAAUCUUACCUAAUGAAUCUUAGUGUACACCUACGAACAUGACCUUAAAAUCAAUUCCUAAUAUGACAAUUUUAAAGUUCUUGACUUGUAGUACUACAAUGCCAUCCAGAAAGAUUGUGUAAAUUCACUCUGCCACCAGU